rnacentral:rRNA from 1 species
UACGUAGGGGGCUAGCGUUGUCCGGAAUCAUUGGGCGUAAAGCGCGUGUAGGCGGUCCGGUAAGUCCGCUGUGAAAGUCGAGGGCUCAACCCUCGAAUGCCGGUGGAUACUGUCGGGCUUGAGUACGGGAGAGGCGAGUGGAAUUCCUGGUGUAGCGGUGAAAUGCGCAGAUAUCGGGAGGAACACCAGUGGCGAAGGCGACUACCUGGCCUGUUCCUUGACGCUGAGGCGCGAAAGCUAGGGGAGCAAACGGGG